AAACAUUUUACUAUCCAUCCCCAAAUUAUGAGCAAAAUGCUCACAUCUGCUGGAGCAACAUGACCGUCCCUGUGUAAUUACAUUCGGUUCUCUACCUCUUACACUCAUCUUAUCUCUUUUAAUUUUCAGUUUUGAAAAUUGAAACCAAAAGCUUAUCUCUUUUCUUCCUCUUCCUUGUUCCACCAACCACUCAUUCCGAUUCUCUCCCCUCUCUUCCUCCUCCUACCUUCUAUUUGGCAGAUCGGAAUCUAAACCCUAAAAUCCCCAAUUCCAAUUGCUCCACCCAUUCCAGCUUAUUCUCCUCCACGCUUCGCACCACCUCACCCCAAUCCACACCCGAUUCUUCACCUCCGCCGUCGGAGCCUCCCUCCCUCCCUCUCUUCUCUCACUCUCCUCCUCUCUCCCUCCGCCGCUACCUCUCCGUCCGCGCCUUCGACGACUCGUCGUCCUCCGCCACCGAAUCGACCGAAAACGGCACCGUUUCGGCUUAAACCGACGCCGUCGAGAAUGCCAAGGCUACGACGGACAAGGACUAUCCGAGCGGCGAGUUUCAGUUUCGGGAGGCGAGCGCGUGGAGGAUCUUCGUCGUCAAGCUCCGGAUGCUCUUCGCUUAUCCUUGGGAGCGGGUCAAGAAGGGAAGCGUCUUGACCAUGAAAUUACGACGACUCAGUCUGCAUUCACUGCGUAGAUUCGCAGAGCUUCGUCAUUAAGGAUGAGAAGGAAGAAGAAUUUACUUUUGGAUUUUAUAAGGUGUUUUACGAAAACUCGGAGCAAGGUCAGGUCUAUGAAUUUCUAGCUCUGCCGAUUGUGAAAGAUGCUGUUGAUGGUAUCAACGGCACGAUCAUCACUUAUGGACAUGUAACUUUUACUCCUUUGGUGGUGGCUUGUUCGUUUGUUGGUGAAUUGAUCUAACAUGCAAGUCUGCUCAUCGAAUGACAGACUGGAGCUGGGAAGACGUAUAGUAUGGAGGUAAUGGUUUGAUAACAUCAUGCUCUAGAGUUUGACUUGAAUCAUAAACUCGCAAGCGUACGAAUCGUGUUAAGUAAGGGAAAUAUUUAGACCAUAGUUAUCGUACCAUGAGGAUUAGGUUGGACCUAACCGAGGUAAUCGGCUUUAGGAGUACUGAGGUCUAGUUUGGUAUUGCUGUGACUUUAAAAAAAAAACACUGCUGCUGCUGUACUGCGAAAAUAAUCAGCUGUGAAUUAAAACAGUUUAUGUUUGGUAAAUAUUAGUUUUAAAAGUGCUGCCAAGAUAAAAUUUAUUAAAUUCUAGUGUUUUUAGUGACAGCUGCUUUCAAAUGUGACCUUCAGGUUGCUUCUAAAAG